rnacentral:rRNA from 1 species
UAUGUAGGGUGCGAGCGUUAAUCGGAAUUACUGGGCUUAAAGGGUGCGUAGGCGGCGCGGUAAGUUGGGUGUGAAAUCCCUCGGCUCAACCGAGGAAUUGCGCUUGAUACUGCCGUGCUCGAGGGAGACAGAGGUGAGCGGAACUUAGGGUGGAGCGGUGAAAUGCGUUGAUAUCCUAAAGGAACACCAGUGGCGAAAGCGGCUCACUGGGUCUCUUCUGACGCUGAGGCACGAAAGCUAGGGGAGCGAACGGG